rnacentral:rRNA from 1 species
AGAGUUUGAUAAUGGCUCAGGAUAAACGCUGGCGGCGCACAUAAGACAUGCAAGUCGAACGAACUUAACAAUUAGUUUACUAUUGGAGCGGUUAGUGGCGGACUGGUGAGUAACACGUAAGCAACCUGCCUAUCAGAGGGGAACAACAGUUAGAAAUGACUGCUAAUACCACAUAUGCCUUAGAAUCACAUGGUUCGAAAGGGAAAGGAGCAAUCCGCUGAUAGAUGGGCUUGCGU